AAUUAUUAUGUAUUCAUCAUCAACUGCGAAAUCCAUAGGUUAAGUUCUGUGAGGUGACAAUAUCAAAGAAAGUGUCACAAUAUAAGAGAGACAUAAUAAGACUAUUCAGGUAUGAAUGAAAUUAAAGUUUACAUUGUUAAGCAAUUUUAAUUUAUUCUCCAGAAUAUACGUGAGUUAAUGUGGUGUUCAUUUUGUAGGCACAACCUGCUUUAACAUCUUUGCUAAUAGCAGACAUUCUGCAAAUGUUAGCUUUCAUUUCUAGAGUUCUUCCAAGGCGGUGUUUGGUAAAAUUGAAGAUUAUGCACUGAAAUUUUAAGAGCUAAAUAAUUUUAGCACAGAAGAAACUGAGAGCUGAAAUAUAACAAGAUAAGCAGUAAGUACCAAAAUCUAAAUUUAAAAAAUAUUUUGAAUUUAAUUAUAUAAUUUAAAGAAUUAAGAGUAAUGAUUAUAGUCAUAGUGGUAAUGUUACAGGUGCCGGCAGUCAGACUGAUUUUGGUGGUGGGUUGAGAUUAUAGUUGUCAUGAUAGUGGUAGUGGCAAUAGAUGAUUGCCAUGAUGAUUGUGCUGGUAAUUCUGGUCACAUAUAUAAUUGCACUUGGAGUGAUGGUUAUUGAGGUAAUAGAGAUAAUGGUGGAAUUGGACUGAUACAAGUGGUAGUAGCAAAAUGAUAGCCACAGCGGCAAUGAUCUUGACGGAAAGAAUGAAAGAAGUGUUGGAGACAACAAAAAUAAUUUGGUAAUGGUAGUACUAGAGGAAUAAGCCAAAGUAGUGCUUUGUCUCGGCAGCCAAGAAAAGAAUUAAGUUCAACACAUUAGGUAGAAUUAUAAAACAUAUUAAAUGAUUUAUUUCUAGUGUUGAAAAGAAAAAUAUAAGAUAUCCAAAACACUUCAAAGAGCUGAAAAAAACAUUUAGUCAAACACACAUUCAAAAGAUACCAGAAAAAAAGAAACACAAAAUGAAAAGGGGGAAAGAUGAGGGGAAGGAGGUGAAGCGUUGUGGAAGAAAGUGGAAAAAAAUGGUCAGAAGAAAGUUAACAAAGGCACUUACCAAUCAUCAUUUUUGUAUGAACAU
rnacentral:misc_RNA from 1 species